UUGAGGACUGAGGCCUCCAUAUGUGGGUUGUGCUUAACCCCUGCGCCACCACAGCAAACCCCAUCUUGAUCAAACAUUAAACUAGUUAUGUUAUAUUUCAGGGGUUCUUUCUGGGACCGGACCGGCCCAGAACUGAACUCCAGGUUCUGCUGGAGCUGAAGGUAACCUGUCGGUUCUACCCAGUUCUGUUCAGAAACAUGUUGGAGGCAGGAAGUGGACCACAGAGCAGGAUGUUUCUGGUUCUGGUUGAAAUUGAACAGUCCAGAUCCUGAAGCAAACUUUAUGGUCCAAUGUUCUCUGAAUGCUACGGUUCUGCUGCAGGGUUCUGAUCCUCUCCAGUCCGAAGACCGCCAGUGGUUCUGGAGACGCAGGUUUAGACCCUGGUCUCUUUAAACUGGGACAAUAUGAACUAUUCAAUACGAACUGGGUCCAAACCGGGACCAGAACAGAACCAUGGUCCCAGGCAGCAGCAGAUCCACAUCAGGCUGGAAAACAGAAGGUCAGAGGUCAUCUGGACCGACAGAUGAAGUUAGCUGUAAGCAGUGAGGAGUGACGGCAUGUUGGACAGGGACAAACCAGUGGUUCUGUUGGAUAUUUGGACCAGAACCUGCCUUUAAACGGAUCAAGAUGGAGAUCAACGAGACCCUGAAACCUGUGGUGAUCGUCUUCAGAACCCAAACUGGUACCGGUCCAUUUAUACUGUGUUUCCUUUGAUGUGUCAGAACCACAUGAUAAACACACUGCAGAACCAGAACUGACCGGCAACACAUCCGCCUCCUGCUGUGAUCGUCAACGCGGCCCAGCAGUAGCCAUAUUGGAUCAGCUGGUUCAAUCGGAUCCAGCAGGACAGAGAGCUAGCAUGCUAUGCUACCUUAGCAGAACUCCCGCAGACCAGCAAACAAGAAGUUGAGUCAGUGAUGAAGAUGCAGGAGGAAGAGGAGGAAGAGGAGGAGCUGCUCUGCCCCUGAACUCUAAAGAGACUCAAACUUCCUCCUUCAGCUCAGCUCUCCAACAUUAACUCUGCUCAACAUGCUGUCUCUGCUCACAUCUGGAUUCUCUCUGCUGGUUCUGAUCACUGGAUCAGGUGUAAACUGUCAACAACUCACUGCAGGAAAGAUUGAGGAGUUCAGUUCAGAGGGCAGCUCUGUUACUGUGUCCUACAGUUUCUCUAAAGCUGCUGUUUAUGAUGAUUAUUUCUUCUGGUAUCGACAAUAUCCUGGAGAACCUCCAGAGUUCCUGAUCUCCCACUCAGGAAUAGGAGCUCCAAUGUCAGCGCCGCUUCCUGGUUUAUCCUUCAACAUGAGUGAAGAUAAAACCCAGAUGGAUCUGCUGAUCUCCUCUGCUGCAGUGACAGACUCUGCUGUGUACUACUGCGCUCCGGACGAUUCCUGGAUCCGACCCGGAUCCAUCCCGGUUCUGACCCGGUUCCGACCCGGCAUCAUGAAAGUUAUUUUGUUCUGGUUCCCAGCCGGGUUGGAGGUCCAUCAUCUCCUCACCGUCGUUCCUGUAGAGGUUCUGCUGCAGGAACCGACCCGUCUGCCGGUCCUGCUCGGCUCUGUGGGGAGUCGAGGCAGGAAGGGGCGGGGCUUCAGACUGAUGAGCGCUCUAGGUGUUAGCGUAGCGCUACAGGUCCGGCUCGGUCCGGUUCCGGCUUCCACCCUGAACAAGGCACUAAACCCCAGGCUGCCUCCGGAUGUCUGGGGUAUAAAUGAGUGA